rnacentral:rRNA from 1 species
UCCUCCCAAAGCGUAACGGAGGAGCACGAAGGUUAGCUAAUCCUGGUCGGACAUCAGGAGGUUAGUGCAAUGGCAUAAGCUAGCUUGACUGCGAGCGUGACGGCGCGAGCAGGUGCGAAAGCAGGUCAUAGUGAUCCGGUGGUUCUGAAUGGAAGGGCCAUCGCUCAACGGAUAAAAGGUACUCCGGGGAUAACAGGCUGAUACCGCCCAAGAGUUCAUAUCGACGGCGGUGUUUGGCACCUCGAUGUCGGCUCAUCACAUCCUGGGGCUGAAGUAGGUCCCAAGGGUAUGGCUGUUCGCCAUUUAAAGUGGUACGCGAGCUGGGUUUAGAACGUCGUGAGACAGUUCGGUCCCUAUCUGCCGUGGGCGCUGGAGAAUUGAGGGGGGCUGCUCCUAGUACGAGAGGACCGGAGUGGACGCAUCACUGGUGUUCGGGUUGUCAUGCCAAUGGCACUGCCCGGUAGCUAAAUGCGGAAGAGAUAAGUGCUGAAAGCAUCUAAGCACGAAACUUGCCCCGAGAUGAGUUCUCCCUGAGACUUUAAGUCUCCUGAAGGAACGUUGAAGACGACGACGUUGAUAGGCCGGGUGUGUAAGCGCAGCGAUGCGUUGAGCUAACCGGUACUAAUGAACCGUGAGGCUUAACCUU